rnacentral:misc_RNA from 1 species
CAAAACCAUUUGCAAUAAAAAAAAAAUUAAAAAGAAGUCUAAAUUCAAGCUUUGGACGAUGGUUAAUGAGAAGUAAAGAAAAUGGAUAUUACUAUCUACCUCAAAUAUAUUCAUAGUUUCACAUCCAUUUGAAACAUUAUAUUAUCCAAUUUUGUUCAUUAGAUUUUUUACAAUUUUUUUUUAUUGAUGAUCAAGUUUUUAAUAUGUAGUUCACUUUGAUAGUUUAAUGAUAAAAGGUAAAAGUGGAACUUCCACAAUAACUAAGCUUUGAC